rnacentral:rRNA from 1 species
CUGGCCGUAAACGAUGAAUGCUAGGUGUGGGUGUCGAGAGGCAUCCGUGCCGGAGUUAACGCGAUAAGCAUUCCGCCUGGGGAGUACGGCCGCAAGGUUGAAACUCAAAGGAAUUGACGGGGGCCCGCACAAGCGGUGGAGCACGUGGUUUAAUUCGAUGCAAACCGAAGAACCUUACCUGGGUUUGACAUGUACGUAGUACGGAUCUGAAAGGUGAAGGACCGUACCUUCGGGUACGGAGCGUACACAGGUGC